rnacentral:rRNA from 1 species
GUCGAGAAUCUUUCACAAUGGGGGCAACCCUGAUGGAGCGACGCCGCGUGGAGGAUAAGGUCUUCGGAUUGUAAACUCCUGUCAUGCGUGAACAAGGUUGCUUGGUUAAUACCUGGGCAAAUUGAUGGUAACGCAAGAGGAAGAGACGGCUAACUCUGUGCCAGCAGCCGCGGUAAUACAGAGGUCUCAAGCGUUGUUCGGAAUCACUGGGCGUAAAGGGUGCGUAGGUGGCGUGGUAAGUCAGAUGUGAAAGCCCGGGGCUCAGCCUCGGAACUGCAUCCGAUACUGCAAUGCUAGAGUACUGGAGAGGUGACUAGAAUUCUCGGUGUAGCAGUGAAAUGCGUAGAUAUCGAGAGGAAUACCAAAGGCGUAGGCAGGUCACUGGACAGUUACUGACACUGAGGCACGAAGGCCAGGGGAGCGAACGGGAUUAGAAACCCGGGUAGUCC